GUAAAGACGUCGAACAGGAAGAGUAAGCGUCAAGGCCCCUUACAGAGAGCAGAGCGAUGAGGUGUAACGCCUGCAGGAGCGUCCCGCUGAAGUCACCUGGGAGUUGCCCGUUUGAACGCGUCACGGCAGUGUAUGAGCCCGGUGCUCGGCAUGUGCCGCCGCGCGCUAGAAGGGGACGGCCGCAUCCGUUACAUGCAGUGGAGUGCCGCCGCGUUCAUGCGAUGAUCAUGAGACGCUUGGCGGAAUUAAGGGUGGUACCACGGAAGUCGAACCUUUCGUCCUUUGC
rfam:Paenibacillus dendritiformis C454 PDENDC1000023, whole genome shotgun sequence.